UGUGUGUGUGUGUGUGUGUGUGUGUGUGUGUGUGGGCGCGCGCGCGCGCACGCCCACACACCCACACU
rnacentral:miRNA from 1 species